UUCUUGGUGGUCUAGUGGUUAGGAUUCGGUGCUCUCACUACUGUGGCCCCGGGUUCGAUUCCCGGUCAGGGAA